rnacentral:rRNA from 1 species
CAGCCGCCGCGGGAAUACAGAGGGUGCGAGCGUUAAUCUGAUUUACUGGGCGUAAAGCGUGCGUAGGCGGCUAAUUGAGUCGGAUGUGAAAUCCCCGAGCUUAACUUGGGAAUUGCAUUCGAUACUGGUUAGCUAGAGUGUGGGAGAGUAUGGUAGAAUUCCAGGUGUAGCGGUGAAAUGCGUAGAGAUCUGGAGGAAUACCGAUGGCGAAGGCAGCCAUCUGGCCUAACACUGACGCUGAGGUACGAAAGCAUGGGGAGCAAACAGGAUUAGAUACCCCAGUAGUCCCUGUCUCUUAUAC